GCUGGACAACGAGCUUGCACCUUCCCGUGGUGUCCAGUGUCAGUAGUCUGCCCAUCAGCCAUCUGACGCGGUUGGACGAAACCAAGACAAGC
rnacentral:ribozyme from 1 species